GCCCCGCGGGCUGCGCACUCCGGCGGGCAGCCGGAGGCCGCAGCGACCCCUUCUCCUCCUUCCGAGAGAGCCGGGGAUGCUGGGGACAGCUCGGGAACGUCGAGCGUUUCGCUGGUUUCUCGCUUUCUGCCGGCGUUUCACGCCUGUUUCUUUUAUGAGUGCGGUUUCCACAAUGUAAUACGCAGCAAACGGCGAUGUGAGAUGAGAGAAAAUACUAAAAAGAAUACACCUCGAUGAAAACUGGCAUCUGUUCUGAAACAAUGAAAAGAGGCCCUUGAUAAGUCUUCUUUAUAUUAACUGCGAUGCAGCAUUGCUAUUAGCAAAGGAAAUUUAGCCUUAGUGCAAAAGUAUUCUGUCAGAAAUAUCUGUUGUAACCUUCCCAGAUCAUACAGGACUAUAACAAAAUGUUAUAAGUCCCUAAAGCUUCUCAAAUAAAGUGUUUCAUGUUAGUGUUUAAUUUCAAUAUGUGUGAGUUAUUUCCAAAUCAAUUUUGCCUUACCUCUUAGCAGCUGAGAAGAAAGAAAAAAUCUUAGGACUAUAUGUGCUGAUAGAAGUAAUAAGCUUCUGAAAUAGUCAUGAGCCCUGACACUUAAUCACUGUUUAUGAGGAAUGAUUAUUCAGAAGUGAAAGUCCUGCCACAACAUGCUUAUAUUCCAAUUGAAAGCUGUCAUCGCAGUACCUGCUCAAAACUUCAGUUACAUGGACUGAAUAUCCUGUAAGUUCAUCUUGUUAAAGGAGUAAACAAGAAGCUAUACGAGAUGUUAAAAUGCCCCUGUACUUUUGGCCCUGUACCCUAAGAGUAAGGCAGAUACUCUGUAAAGUGCAAGAGCUAGAUACAUGGAAGUGCUUGUGAGGGACUCGUCUCUGGCAGCUUCCCGUCAUUUCCACCUGCUGCCGCAUGGAAUGCUUUGACCAGUGAUAGCAGAUUGUGCUGUGUGGUUCUGAUGAGAAGGGUUGUUCUGAGCUUGAAUGCAGAAGGUGCCAUACCAAACAUCACAAAUAUCCUGUGUUUUAAAAUUACCGAAGACAAUGAAGCAUGAAAAGACUUCGUAAGUGGUGCUAAUGAUGUGCAAAUUCUCCAGCAUAAUCGUGACUUGCUACGUGCUUAUGGAAAGCAAAAUAAGUGAGAGAUGAAAAAAGCAAUGCUGCAAUUUAAGCAAAGCUAACUAGAGCUUGAUUUGAUUUUGUUCUGCUUAUUCAGAUCAUAGCUAUCCUUACAGAGGACCACCUUUUCUGAGGAACUGAUGUGUGCGUGCACGUGUAUUUCUUUCAGUAGUGUUACUAUUUGUCAUUUAUAACAGUAUAAUAUGGGUAAGUCCCCAAACGAUGACCUGCCAUUGAGGUUGGUGAUCAUUUACAUCUUAACAAGAGCAAUCAGAACGUCCACGUUCAAGGUGCUUUCUCAAGUGCCACAUUCCAAGCUCUUUAGCACUAGCACAUGUUCUGAAGCUGUAAUUUAGUUUGUUAUUCAAUUAAAAUUCAUCCCAACCAAAACAAUGUAUUAUGACAAGAUAAUAUAGUUUGUACUCUGCAGUGACACUGCUCAAGAUGUUGUUUUCCUAAGGAUUUUUUCCCCUUAAAAUAAAGCCCUGUUUUUGUUGCAGAUCUUCUGUUUUGUCAUAGUAAUCAUAUCUCAAGAGCCACUUUUCCAAAUGUUUUCUCCUCAUUUAUGUAAUUAUUAAAUAUCUGAGUGUGCAUUGCAUGAUAGAAAAGUUGUAAUCCUGUCAGCAUCAACAUCUCAUCUGUGAUACAAAUUCAUUGUUUUUUUUUCCAAAUAAGACUGCCCCCCACUAAAGAGCUCCCAUUGCUCUCCAGAAUAAGGUGUACCGUCUUGUCCUCUCCAAAUCUACAAGAAGUUCACGUGUGUUGAGAGGCCAGAAUCUAAAGUGUUGUAAUAUAUCUUGCAAAUAGGCAAUGGUAGUUUUAAUUGUAUUUUAAUUUAGGUGUGCUUAAACUGUUCAGUUCAUUCUGAGCAGUGGCUCAAUGGCUUGUUGACUACUUUAUAUGGAAAUUUUAUAGGACUGUGCAUUUUUUUCCCCAAAGAAUAUUGAAGGGGUUCAUUAAAUAUAAAGGUCCUCUAUGACGGGUUUACUGAGUUCUGUUCUGAGAACUCCUAAUAUAUAAUGAAGUAAUCAUCCCCUUAACCCAGCCUGUUUGCACUCUCAGUGAAAUCCCCUUCCUCUGAAGAAAAAGGAGCCAUGGAGCUUUAGCUCUUACUGAACUUUUUUGCAUUGCGGGCAGGGUCCAUGCAAACUGUUGCCUGCAAUGGAGGGACACAUAUGCUGAAGCUGGAUAUAUUAGCCUUAAUGCAGGGCAGACCUCUCAAAGGGACUGAUGUCAACGUUUCCCGAGAAUACUGGGGGUGGACAGCCUCUUCUUCAAAAAGUGCCAACAACAGAAAACCCCCAUCCUAAACAUACAGCUCCCGUGUUUUGGGGCUCCUCUUUUAUCUGUUUGAUGGAAAGUCGGCUCAACGUGGGCACCAGAGUCUGGGAAAGACAGUUUGCCCGAUGUCAGCCCUGCCGCGGAGCGGCACGAAGGGGCGGCUGUGUGCAGCACAGCCCGAGUUUCCAUCGCCUAAUGCAGCGGGUUUUUCAAGCAGGGCGGAUUUCAGGAUGCUGGGUGUGUGGAGUGCGUGGGCAGCGGCUCUUAAACGGCAGUGGGUGGAGAUUACAGCAUUUCAUCUGCUUUUCCUCUGACACCUUUUAAAGAUACAGCCCACGAUGUUGUUUAGGGGUUUGUGCCAAUUGCUGCUAGAGUAAUCUUGCAUUCAAUCUGACAAUUUACAGCUCGCCUCAAUGUAUAAAUAGGAGUAAGUUCUGAGCAGACCCUAAGUUUCUCUAUGUUAACCUCAGUUCUCAUGCAAGGGUGAAGCAUUUCCUUGGUCAAAUGCUUCUGAUUUAACGUUAAUUCCAUACAAAUUUAUAUAAAAGUACUUUCUGGAAGCAGAGCCUUGUAAGUAGCAUCGAAGGUUAAGAAUUGUUCUCUUUAGCCUCGUCCAAGGUGGAGGGAGAUGUCUUUCUUUCCCUAUUGAUUUUCUUAGCUCUUAUUCUGUCUUGCUGCAGCUAUGAAUGUAUUCUGUGUUCGGUAUUUUUGCAAGCAUUUGGCUCAGAAGUGGUGAACAGCUUGUUGUUACUGGUGCCUACUUCCCCCUGAAGCACAUAACAUUUUUUUAAUUUAAAGGAAUAACAAGAAUUUGCCUCUAACCAGUAGAAAACAUUUUCCUAUUUAAACUUCUCCUUUCAUUCUGAAAAUGCGAAAUGAUAUUAAUUGCCGGCUAUUCAUUCUUUUUGCUCUGUGAAAACCUCAGAAGUUGCUACAGAUAAUGUACUUGUCAAUUUAUUCAGUGUUAGAACUCCCUGAGAUUGAGAAAAUACAGGCAUACAGUAGGGUUGUGGUAUUCAGGUUAUUUGUUUUCCCUUUUUCUUCAGAUUAGUCUCAAGUAAUGAUGUCUAGUUAGUCAGCUACUGGGUGGACAGGCUGAACAGAGUCCAACUUUGUAAAUGUUACACAGUGUUAUGACCAGUCUUGAGCAAUAGUGGAUGACAGUACAGCACUCAGUCAGAGAGGACGUCUGAACGGUUCCAGUACGACUGUGCUAUGUGUUUUAGGGAGGACAUAGGCAUUUCUUGAGAACAGAAAUGAAUCUUGUAAAUGCAGAAAGCUGCUGGGGGAACGCAGCUUUGUCUUUCCAAGGAAAACAGGAGGCGAAGUCUUAAGAGAUGACUUCUCCUCCUAAUUAAGUACCUCAAUAUUUAUAAUACCAUACCUUGCCAUUUUGAGAUUUGUGGGCUUCCUGCUUCUGAAAAAAUGUUAUGCUUGUCUUCAGCCAUUUUGUAACCAUUGCCUCAUUGAGAAAUUGAGCCCUGUUGUGAAUCUUAAACUAGGAAAAGAGAAGUGAAGCAGUUGAGGAUUAAUACUUACAAGACCAAAUGAGUCAGUACCUAUCCCCUGGUCUUGUAGAUGUUAUUAUGAAUGAUACGUGUUAUACGUAUGGGCUUCUUGCUAAUUUAAGCAGAAACUUUGUCUCUUAAAAUUAUUUUAAUUCUUACUGAUAUACAUAUGCACUUUGUCAACCCAUAGUGAUGUUCGUCUGCUCAUUAUUUCCUAAUAUAAUUACUUAACACAUGCAUCUGACAUUUGGUAACUUGAACUGAAAUAGUUUCUCUUGAAUGUGUGUGUCACUAAGUUUUAAAUGGGCUGCAGUGUGUUUGUUUCAUGUAGUGGAGGAGGAGGGGAAGUAACAUUUGAAAGUUAUCAUCGCUUGCCUGGAAGUACACAAAUGCUACCAUAUGUCUGGAGCUUUUGCAUGGUUUAUUAAGAUGAGAAAAUAACCUAAUCGUUCAUUCUUUGGCUAGGACUAAAAAAUCUAAAAAUGAAGAUUUAUUUCUCUGAGAACCGUGUCAUGCAGCCCAUUCGAUGUUUGCUAAGAGUGAUCAGCGUUUGCUCUAGACACAGUAUUACAGAAUGGCAGUUCCCUGCUCAUUCAGUUUAUUUUUUUUUUAAGCUACUGUGUGAAAGGUAUGAAUGCUGUACUUCAGCGUGCAAGCACCACUUUUCUCUCAGACUAGAGUAAGCAGACAUCUUAAAAUAAGUUUGUUAUAGUAUGUUUUUAUCCUGAUGUGUGCUCUGGAAAAGUUUAUUUGUGGAGGUGAUUAAGUGGUUAGCUGUCCUGGGCUUAAAUGCAGGACAGCUGAAGCUUGUAGGAAAUCAAAAAUUACUGGGUGUUUGUUGCCAAAUUUCGCUGUUCCUGAACCACGGGAGGACUGUUAAGGGGCAGCAAGGUGGAAACAGAUCUAUUGGUCUAACUAAAUGCGCAACCUUUCUUUAGGAAUAGAUUUUGGACCUGUAGCCAGCACACCCUUUAUGGGCACCAGUGUGGGUGGGAACAAAGUGUCAAUUCUGCACGUGCAGUGACAUCUGCCAGCAUUUGGGGUUAGCUUUGGGAAGGACCGGAGGAUCUCACUUUUGAAAAGGAUUGAUUUGGGGAUUGGGUGGGAGGGGAUGCUCACUGACAGAUGUGACGAUGUCCUUCACAUGAAGAGGAUACUUUGGUUGCUCUUUGUCUGCUUUUGAAGGGUUUAGUAACUGUUUGCACAUGAUUUCCCAAUGGAGGUCAGUGAAUGAAACCUUCAGGCAGUUGAGCAAACAGGAAUCUUGAAGAGCUUUGAUGAAAAGCUACUAAGGUGACACUUCUGAGAGUACUGCCCAGACAGAUGUUUCAGGGAUUGCACACAGUUCCCAGUGCCUUAAGGAACUGCUCUGGUUUGUCAAUUUAAUCAAAACAGUGGUUGUGGUAAGGAUCCCUUUAAAAAGAGGGUGGAUGCAUAAGAGAAAAGAAAGGUUAGGGAUGGAAGGCAGGGAAGUCAUUCUUGCAAACCAGUUAGUUAUUCCUGGAACUUUAUUUUGUAUCUUCGGUUGCUGCUCUACCAUUCACACACUCAUUGUGUGAACACACAUCACAUACUGAUCAUUUUUCUCCAUCUGCUGGCUGACAGGACAUCUACAGGAACAUUUCACAAUUUACCUUUGUGAUGGAGGUGAUAGUUAUCUCGCAGUGCCAUUCUUGCCCAGAAUCUCCCUGAGAAAACCAGUAAGCCAGUACUAACGCAGUCUCUAAUAAAGUCAUUUUUGCAGAGCAGACAGCAUGAGGAUAAGGCACUCUCUGCUCUUCCUCUAAGCCUUUCCUAGCCAGCUCUCUUGGGCUUAGAGAAGAUUUAGUCUAGCUGGAGAGCUUUUUGUUUGGAAAUGAAGAUUUCUGGGUUUUGUGUUUGUUUGUUUUCCUUGUGUGUAUGUGGAGUGGAUCUUAAGAUAUCCUUUGUGGUCAUUUUUUGUUAGCAAAGAGGUUCUUCCAAAGCAUAUUUUUAUCCAUGGUCAUGUGUCAUAGCAGUCGAGGUGUAAAAUGGUGAGAUCAACCCAGAUCUGGCUGUUCAGGCAGAUGACAGUGGUUGUCCCUGGUUAAGUGCCUGGUUGCUGGGCAGAUCUGGGUCACAUGAAAACUCUGGAUUUGAUGCCUGGCUGUCAGCAUCUGCAUUAGGGGUCUGGGCUGUUUGUCAGAGCAGAGGACCACAGAUGGGAAAGCUGAGCAUUUCAGUUCUGUGCUGGAGAAGGCUGGCUGAGGCUUGGAUUAAGAUCUCCCUUCUAGGUGAAGUCUGGUUGGGAGUUCUCUGAGCCUGACUACUCCUGUCUUCUUGGGCAAUUUCUUGCAGGGAUGAUAAUGGUGGUUCUUUUGAAGGCUCAUUUGGCACACUGGGGUUUCAAGAGAGCUGUCUUAUAGACCUGGCUUUGCUUCACUGCUUUGUAAGAUUUGUGUUGGCAGUUUUGGUCAACAUUUUUCAGGGAUGCUCUGUGAUGCACAUCUGUUCAAACUGCCUCUUGUGUGCCCUGUGGGGAGGAACCAGUUGGAUCCUUGACUUUCCAUCUGUCUUCCAGUCAGGGUACUCUCAAAAUGCCUCUGAUUGUGUAUGGUCACAGAAUUCAGCAUUGAUAGUUGCUGGGAGUGUGGUAACAGGACAGUGAAAAUGCAACCCUGCUAAGCAGGAUGUGACUAUUAGUAGUUAACUGAUUGUACCACAUAAUACUCUGCUCCCCUCCGGUUGCUCUUUAACACAAUCCACUUGCACGUCCAAAAUAUGUUGUUGGAUGAGUGAACUGAUGUAUUGUUGUGGGGGAGCUAUAGUUCUGCCUCCUAAAGUCUGUAAAUUCUGAAUUUAGAAAGGUCAUCCAUGAAGAGGGUUCCUUUCAGGGUUCCCUGAUGCAGCAGAAGCAGUGUUCCCCAUGACUCAAGUGAGCCCACUUGCACAAAGGGGUUCCAGAACUGCCUGCUGCUUUAUAAAGAAUAAAGGAUAAAGAGAAGGAGGGGGAACCUGCGUUAUUUUUGAUGCAACGUGAAGUUCUUUUUCAUCAGCUUUUGGCAAGUGAGAGCACUGUGUAGUUCUGGAAAGAGAAUUUAUUUAAAUUGUUCUGAAUAAAAGCAACAUGCUUGUCAAUAAUAAAGUUUUGAUCUAACAAGCAAUACAGAGCUAAAGGAGAAAUUUGUCUUUUAGGAAAAAGUCUUACCUCAGCAACUCUCCCCUUCUUGUUUUUAUGGUUGUGUGGGUUUUUUUUUUUUCAGCUUGAAAGUCUUUUGAACACCAUUAUUUUAUGAAAAGUAACAAGUAUAUUUCUUAUCCAUUAUUCUUGCAGUCCAUGCAAAAUUACUGAUGUGCUGUCAAAGUCAUAUGGAGAUCGUUCAUCAUACCAAAGUAACUACAGGACACCUGUACGUUUCACAUGAUUUCACAUAGUGAAGAAUUCUGAAUUGGCAUGCUUAGCAGUGUAGCAUUUCUCAACCUUUGGGGCAACAGAAUUUGAUAUUUUUUCCCCUUUCUUAGUAAUAGAGCUUGAUUUGUUUGUGUUUUAAUAGUUGGGAUAGAAAAGAAUGGCUACAUCCCAUUUUUCAGCCUAGAGAACUUGCACAGAGUUAAUGCUUGUAAAUUUUACAUGAUGUUUAGGCUGUUAAAGAACAAAGCGCUUAAAUUGCAUAAUUUGGAUCCUCAAAAGUUCUUCUAAAGGUCUGAGUAUUAUUUAGUUUCAGUACGCUUGCUUUAGUGUGUUGGUUAGGGCUCUUCAUGAACAAAAUACAAACAUUAUCUUUAUUACUCACAGUGCUGCUGCAUACUUGCGGUUUAGUUUUUGCCAACUAUUUGCAAUGUAUAGCCACAGACUCUGUCUGGGUGGCAGAAAACAAAAACAAAGUCUUUCUGUUCCUAUCAUGACUUGUAUUUUAAAUUAGGAACAUUAAUGUAUCAUUAGGUAGGGAGGUAAGAGUACGUCUGCGUGUGUGUGACUCUUCAAUAGUCUGAAGCGUCAGAAACCACAUCAGAAUAGACUUACAUGCAUCUUAUUAGCUGUAAGCACCCGCAGCAUGAUUAAUGCUCUACAAGAGAGACAGGCAAGACCUUCCCAGCCCCAGGAAGCUUACAGGCUAACAGUGAUAAAAUUUGCCUUCUAAUUUAGGAGGUGGAAAUUAAUUUUGUGUUUAUUAUUAUUGUGGCUCUGCUCUGGAUGUACUUCUGGGAUACUGAAGCUAUUGUACACAUGUGAAUUGGCCUGUGAUGGCUUCACUAAUCCAUGCAAUCAACUCCUCCUCUGUUCAGCUGUGUAUAAGGCACAAGAUCAGAAUUGCCUCUCUUCUAUUUUAAGACCUCUCUUGGAACCUGCCUUAAAACAAUUUUGAAAUGACAAGUUUAAGGAAUCAUAGGGUUAUUUAAAUGCUCACAUGUGCAUCCAUUCUGAGUUCACUGAAAAAUUCAUAGUCCUGGACUGCCUUACAGAAUUAACAGGGCAGGAAAAAAUGUGGUGCAGUAGAGGGCAUGCAGUAGUGUAUACCUAAGUUUGUACUGUGCCUUUCCGUUCUGAAGGGAAAACAAACAAACAAACAAACUUCAGUUGUGUAUUAUCCUCUUGAUUACAACUGCAGUUUCCUCUCAGUCACCCCACCUCCCCCACAGCCUUCCCACACCUUUCCUUCAUAGGAUCGGAGACACAGAAUAUAUAAUCAUGGAGAAAUGUUUGUGUUUAGUUUUUUCAUCAAGCUAUCCCAUACUUCAAAUCAUAUUUGCAUGCAUUGGCAUUUUCAAAUGGAAUUUCCCAUCACAUUUUGCUGAACUAUUUCAGCAAUUCUAGAGAUGUACAGGAUGUGUGCCUUUUUUUUUUUUUUUUUUUGAAAGCAAAACAGAAUUUCAGUUUUCAGUAACUACUUUCAAAAACAUCUCUUAAGCAAAUGAAGUAAACAAGUAUUAGUAAUAUUAUCUACUAAAUUAAAGCCAUUGACUAUAGGAGCUUUUCUACCAAAAUCUGUAGUUUUCCAAUAAACCCCUAAUAAUCCUGCGAAGUACGUUAGUGUAUUUUUUUUCUGAAUUUGUAUUCAUAGAAUCAUAGAAUCACCAAAGUUGGAAAAGACCUCUAAGAUCACCCACUCCAACGUUUUUCCUAACAUCCAACCUGAAUCUCCCCUGGCACAAUUUGAGGCCAUUCCCUCUAGUCCUAUCACUAGUUACAUGGGAGAAGAGGCCAAAUUAAAAUCACUGUCUCCCCUUAAUCUUCUUUUGUAGUCAAAGUGGCUAGGUAGCAGACUCCAUUUUGAAUAGUUGAGAACAGCAGAUAGCAAAGAUACUUUAUUUUUCUGGCAACAUAUUUGAAAUUUCAUAGCUUUAGCAAAAAUAUAAGCUAUACCAAAGCUAUACCAAAGCCAUUAUGUUGUUAAAAAUAGGACAAAUUUCUAUUAAUUUGCAUAUGAGAGCUUUCUGCUUAUUGGCUGGGAAGGCUGCUGCUGAGUUAUAUUCCUGUCGUGUUUUUUGCCAAAGAAAAGUGUUCUUUUUAUUUUUGAAGCUUCUCAUCUAAAAUGUGCAAGAAAAAGUGACUAUUUGGUAUGGAAGGGUUGAAAUUAAAUUUACCAACUAGCAUGUAUCCUCUAGAGAGAAGUUACUCGUUCUACUAAAACCUGUCAUUGUGUGCCAAAAUAAGAAUGAGCAUCAGUUGAAGGAGUUUGUUUUAUGCACAGUAGUUGAGAAAUAAUUUAACCAGAGAUGUAGAAAAUUCAGAGGUAAUCUAUGUUGUUUGGCUAUAAAUAAAGAUGACUACUGAUGAAGCAUAGAUAUGGUAAAGAUAUUUUUUUUCUUGAAUGAGAGCAUCAUCUCUAGCUUACUUCUGGUAACUUGAAUUUUAUUGGAUUUGGAUGUUAUUCUUCAUUCAAGUAAAAGCAAUAACUAGAGAAUGUCAGUGUUCCUUGUCUUGGGUGAAGUGGGGGAGAAUUGACCUUUCGUGGCAAUGUGAAUAUAAUGAAAAAUUUUCUUAUGUGCCAGACCAAUAAGUGUUGGCUAAGGUGUGGUGCCAAUCUUUUUGCAGGCCUUCAGGCCUUGUAUUGGAGAGUUUCUACCUCUGUGUUUUCAGAACGUUCCCAGCAGAUGCCAUAGUGAUUUAGCUCUUCAGUCUUGGGUGUUUUACUGCAAAGCAUCUUCUGGGCUUUAUGCUCCCCCCGUGCGUAUGUCUUGUGUGUGAGGGAAGAUGAUGGGACACUUUUUAGGCUGUGAUUAUCUGAAUGGAGCAUGUUCUAAUAUGCCUCUCUCACCAGACACAAGUCAGUUGGCCAGCUUUCCUACUGCCUGGCAGCAAGCUGAGGCUUGGUUGAAACCACGUAUGGAGUGAUAGUGGAAAAAGGGAGGCAAGGUAGCAAGGAAGUUGUCAGACUGGUAAACCAAAUGUUUGAUGUCAGAGAGGGCUGUCCAGGAAGAGAGCCAAAGGAACUGUCAUAUGGUAUUGGCCACAAGACUUACAGGCCUUCUGUCUGCCCAUCAGGUCUUUGAAGUGACCAUUGGUUUCAGUUGUGAUAGUUUGGCUGUUCUCGAAGACUUCUAGAAGACACUGACAGAAAUGAAGCAGGUUGGCACAUUGGCAUAAACACAGGUAUGGCAGAGGCAGCGGGCACCAGGCCAGAACCUGUCCCGCCAGACACUGUCCAGCCAGAACGGGGAACUUCAGCUGAUGCAGGAGCUCCUGAGCGGGUGUUGACUUCUUGUUCACAGGCAUCUCUGGAGGUGUUCCUGAAGCAUGUAGCUGUGGUACUUACGGAUGUGGUUUAGUGGUUGAUAUAUUGGUGAUAGGUGGGCAGUUGGACUAGGUGAUCUUAGAGGUCUUUUCCAACCGUAAUGAUUCUAUGAUUCUAAAGUACUCCCACCUCAGGUUACCCAAGAGAUCCUCUGCUUUCUUCUUCCCCCAACACGUCUGUGGGACAUUGCAGCAGCUGCGGAAUUCUCAUCAGAAACAAGUGUUGUGUCCCUCUGAGAAUCAUGUCCCUGAGGCCCAUGGUUCACCAGUCAGCUGACUUCCACAGCACGCUGGAUAUGAGUCCUUUCUGCACAGAUUUUUGCUGGGCACAUGCAGGGGACUUAGUAUGGGAAAGAUCUGGACUUGUUUAGGGGGAGGAAUUGAUUCCAAAUGAUGUCUUGCUUUAGGUUUAUGGUGUUUUUCAGACAAUGAAUUAAAUACUGUUUUCUCCAUACUAGAGGCUUGGAAGCAACAUCUCUCUAACUUUUUAGUUACCAGAAUCAGUGCUUUCUUACUUAGUACAAGGAAACACAUGUCCUUGGUUAUCUAUCCAGCUAAUAAUUAAUAAUGCUUGGUUGUUUUUUCCCCCAUGUAUCUAUGCUGACCUCUUUAGAAAGAGAUUUUAUAUUCUGAGCCCCUUAUGUAUUUUUCCAUAUCACGUAUUUGAAUGAUUAUUCCAAAGUGCAAAACCUCCAGUGUCUAGCACACAAUUUUCCAAUACUUCAUCUUACCCUCACAGGAAAGGACAAUUAAAGAAAUAUUGAGUGUUUUUCUGUUUGCAUUUUUCAUUAAAUAGGUUUUCUUAACUAGAAUGUCAGAGUAUCUGUGUUAGUGAAGCGUGUCUUCCAUGUGCUUUCAUCCUCAAGGUAGCUCCAACUGACAAAAUUACAUGGGGACUAACACCUACUUUUCAUUACUGGCAGUAGUUUGCUUACAGCUGGACCAAAAGGGCACCUAACAGAUUAAGCUAGAUUCUAUUUAAAGAUUUUUAUAUUUUCCUAUUACAAUAGGAAAAAAAAAAAAAUGAAAAGGAAGGUAACCUAAAGGUUUUUACUCAUGAGAAUAUUUUCAGUGAAUUAUAUUGAUUAACAAAAUUGCUUCAUCUUAUGGCAGAAACUUUUUAGAAGAAGGCAGUAAUUGUAAUUAAUUUUUAGACUGUGCCACAUAUUUGAUGAUAGCUCUGAUUCAUGCUAUUAUAUUCUCUCUCUUCCUUCACCCACAGCAAAACAAAUUUAAUUUGAUUCAUACCCUUAAGGAAAAAAAACUCAAAAUUACUCACAUGGUUAUGAUUCAGCUCUUGGCAUAAAACCCUGUCCUCCUCCAGCCUCCCCUUCUCCCACCCAAACCACCCCCACCCUCACCCACUGUAUAUUUAUGUCACCGUAGUCUGAAAAAGUUGAGUAGUUCUUUAAAAACAGAGCAAAUGAAAUCCUUCUUCAGGCUGCCGUAUUACAUAUGUCGAUAUGAGUCUAAUAAGACUUCCUUUUCACAAGUGGUAUGGAGGCAGCAACAGUACUCUGUUUUUCAUGUUACUUUAAUAGACAACAGCACUGUGUUAGUCCUGAGAGGUGGUUGCUUUUUAGCAGUUUAGCAAAGCUACAGCAAGCGAUGCUAAAAUUGCACAAGUUGUUGGAUUCAUGAAUAUGGCUUUCCAAAAAAAGACUUCUAAGGAAACUGUGUAUAGGGAUUCUUGUUGAGGUGAAGUACCAGAAGAGUUAUCUUAAUUAAUAUUAUUUCUAUCUUUCUCUUCAUUAGUGUUAAUGACCUCAUUUUUUUAGAUAUUACCGGGGUUUUCCCCAAGAAAAGAUAAAAGCUGCAAUGCUUUCAUUACAUAAGUUUAUAACAGUGUCCCUGGUUUCUUAGAGCGUGUCAGAUAUAUCUUUAUAUGGGUAAUUGGCAGUCUCCUGCAUUAACAUCCCACUGGAAGUGUGUGGUAGGAUUCUGCUCACCGUUGUAUCUCAUGAGCUGUCGUUCGUAAGAGCUGAACACAGCUCAGGUUCGGCAGUCAGACGCUAGAAUCAUUCAAAGGAGAUAUUUUGUAUAUGAAAAGAUGGUUAUAGAGAUCUGCUAUUUAGAGGUGCUGCAGCCGAACAAUCCCAGUGGAAAUCAGGAGCAGCUCAGUGCCUCUGAAAGCUGACACGUGUGUUCAUGUGUAUAACGCUGAGCACAGAGGACUUAAUGCACACUGAUGCAAUGAACCAGUCACAGUAUGUACCACAUCUUGCUUAAGUUGGUGGGAAGGACUAUUUUUAACCACGCUCACUAAUGCAGCUCUUCUACUCUUACUGCAAGAGACAAAUAGGUUAUACCUUAAAGGUAGAAAUCAAUAGGGAAAAAAAACAUUCUCAGAGCCCAGAUCAUUUGUUUACUCAGAAAAUAUUAACCUGUUAGUUAAAUGAUGCAUGUUUCAUUAGCUCUGUGAAAAGAUAAAAUUCAUUUCUUCUUCAUUCCCCUAACAACCUCUGCUUCCAUGUAUGUACUGUGUAGAAACAAUAUGGUAUUUGCACACAUGUCCAUGGUCUCAGUGACACUGGGGAUGUUCCUUUCUGAAUGAGAAAGGUCUGUCAGUGCAAUUAGCAUGAAGGGUGCUGUCCAGUUCCUUUGGAGUUCCUCCAGUCCUAACGUGACUUCUGUAUUUUGAGUCCUGGCCACAAAGUGUUGGCAUGAAUGAACGUGACCUGCAGAGGAAAGGGUGGUCUCUGUGUGGCCUCUUCCUCUCCCUUUCCUGUGUGGUUGCUUUACGCAAUGUGCAAACUGUCUACCUUGGACUGUCUCACUCCCAAAUAAACAGGUCAACUAGAUAGCUCUUGUGUCUGAUGCCAAUGACAAGCAUCUUAAAAGGAGUCAGUUGACCCCACAUAUUUGGACAAAGAGACAACAGUGAGAAAACCGAAAGGGAAAAGUAGGGAAACUUCCCUAAUGGGAGAGAAAAACUGCUUGGUAUAGCAGGAAACAGGCUUUGUUGGAACAGUGAAGAAAGACAAGUCUACUGAGGAAACAGUCAGAAAAGAAAAACGUAAUAGAAGAGCUAGGCAUUUACAUCUGUGGGAGUACAUGGAAUGGGAUGAAGAGAGCAGCGCCUUCUCUCUCAUACUCCUCAGUCCUCCCCUUCUCUUCCUGGUAUAACUGGGUUUCUGUGUUGCAAUGAAGUAUUCCUCUCCCAGCAAGCACAACCAGCAGAAUCCAGCUGAACUUCAGUCAUGCUUGCACAAGCCAAGCUACCGAAAUUCAGACACCAUUGCCAGCAGUGCAGUGAUGCACCUUCCUGCGUUCCAUUAGGACAAAAGUCCCAUAAGAUAUACUGACUUUACAAAAAAAAUAAUUUCUCAACAAUGAGGUCAACAAUGCAAGUACGUCUUUUCCCGUUAAGCACCAGCUGCUAUCAUUUUUGAGUGUUACAUUUUAGCCAUGUAGAUGGUGGCUGGAGACCAUCCAGCUCAGCACUGGUUGGAACGAGAUGCACAGUGUGAUCCAGGACAUGCAUGUGGGAUGGGGAGCCAAAAGUUCCCUGAUGCGACUCAGUUCCUGAUGGAAACUUCUGUGAUGUUGGUCGAGUCGCUUACAUACUCCUGGCCUCUGUUUCUCAUUUUCUAGAGACUUAAGUCUACCAUUUCACAGGGAUAUUAUGAGGAUUUACCUUAAAACGUACUUCUGAGGUAUUUAUAAUGGUUAAUCAGCUUUUCCAUUAUGGAGUAGUUACGUGAUUUGGCUGGCUUCAGACACACGAGCUCACACGAACGCUAUACAUAGAAUACUUCUCUGGAAUAUUUUGUGUUUGGCUCAUCUGAGUCAUGGUUUCCAUUCAAAAAGAAUAGUGAAAUAAUUUGAUUGUUUUAAUGUAAAAUAUUGUUGUGAAGAACCUCAUAGUAAGUGCUUUGGGAAGAACUCAGAAACAAUGUGUGAUAAAAUCAUUAGGCUUAUGUCACUUAUCAGGGAUGAUGGCAGAUACAUGUCUGUUUUCUACCAAGUUGGAGAAUGGAAGACUGAGGGUAUAGAACAAGACAAGGGAAACACGACUUGAAGCAAAGAGAGAUGAUGGUGAUCAUUUGGUGUUGUGCCUGCAGCCGUCCCCAACUAAGUUUAGGAUGGAAAUGUAAAAUAAAGUUCCAAACCGUCAGAAGCAACUUGUGGAACAACCUCUCAACUGCAGGAGCUGAGGAGAAGCUGCAGCUCUUUGAGAUGACAGUAGGGUCAGAAAACAAGAGAGGCGUUCGCUGGUUUCCUUCCCAGUCCCUAAGUUCUUCAGCUACACCUGUUGUCCUAGGUCUCUUCUUUAAUUCAGUUGUCUGUAGUUAAACUUCUGAAAAGAAUGGACAGCUCAUCUCAAGGUUUUAACAUUAAUAGGAACCUGUGGCCAUUUUGAGACAUUUAUUCACUAGCCCUCAAGAAGACGGAUAAGUUGAUAAGUCGAUCUGGCUACUUGUAAUUUGAAGUUGCGUACCUGCUUGAAGCUCAUGACAAGGUGGUGUUGGACUAAUGCUGUGGAUCGUUCAGCCCAGACCUUGUAGUUGCCCAUCAAUCGCUCAGUAGUCAGUGUAGAUUCUGUCUUUACAAUCAGCAGCUACAUCUGGCUACUGGGUCUCUGAUGACAUCUCAUAUCUUCCAUCUAGACUGUUUGUUGGAUUUCUGUCUUCUCUCCUUGGUGCAGAGCAAGUUCACAGUGCUAACAAGUUAACGUCAGAGGUGUGGCCCCAAGUAAAGAAUUGGAUAUAUUGGAUGUUGGAUCUUCUUUACAGUGGGAAUCAGAUUAACUAUCUGGAUGUUUUAUAUUGGGAAGCAGAAAUAUUUUCUGUAGCCUGUUGUGGGGGCUGUAGUUUAACUGGUAUCUGUAAAUUGGAACUAUAAAAAUAAUCGGACUUUUUCACUGAAGAAUCUUCAGCCUACCCUAAUCAAAGGAUAGGUGUUGAAAAUGGUAUCUUGUCUGAUUGUGUGACUAUUGCAUAGUAGGGGAGGAAAUGUACUGUGAACUGCGGUGCGCACAGCUGCUGUUAAUCAGUUGUGUGGGAAGACUGUCCAGGUUUGGGGCAUGAACCUGGCAUACAAUGUAGAUUUCUGUGUUUGUUAAGCAACAGCUACAUUGUCUGCUGGGUUUCCAGCUGCCUGGAAAUACAAAGUGGAGGGUUGUCUACAAUUUUUUUUUUGUCAAGCUGCCUCUCUGCCAAUCUUAAAUAAGGAAAAUAAUGCAAUUGAGGUCUGUGGGCUCCCUCACUCCUUGUUCCAGCUCAGGUGAUCCAGCUGGUGUCUGCAGAGCUGGGAGCCAGGGUGAAUAUGAAGCUAGUUAGGAGGAAGGUGGUACAAGAGACUGAAGUGUUGCAGGCAUCAGAACUUGAGCAGCUCUCACGUGGAAGCUAAUGCAGGCUGUGUACAUAACCAUUACCUUGCCUUGGUGAUGGCCUUUUUCUUUAAAAAGUGUGUGUGCUAUACGGUUAGGAAAUCCUUUUGGAGAAGAGAGUCGUGGGAAACCAUGAUAGAUGCUUCUAUUCUAGAUCUGAUAAAUGUACUUUUAAAGAGGUGCUACAUAUAGUAUGGCUUAUAAACAAAGUGCCUAGAAAUAAAUGGGGAGGGAUAAGCUAAUGUCUUGAGUGUUGGCACCAGCUGGAUCUCUUAAGCUUCACCAAAACUAGGAUGUUUCACUUGUGCAUUAUAUUUAGCUGAGCAGUGACAAACCAGGCAGUUUCAGUUUGAGAAGAGGAGGCCUGGAAUAGCAGGAGACUGUCCAUUCAGACUUGAACUGCAGUCAUAGUAGUGAAUGGGGAAGCUUGUUCAGCUUGAGCUUGUACAACGUAUGGCUGUACUGCUAACUCUUCAGUGUUGGUAUCAUGUGUAUUUUGACCAUGGACAUUGGAAGAGCUGUGAUGGCCAAACAAUGAAGAAAAGUAUGGUUUGGUUAAGCCUGUGUUUUCUGACUUAUCUACAGGUUGUUAUAGAUCAGCAGGCAUCCAGAACUUUGUUUGAAUAGCAUACUUAAAGAAGCAGAAGGGUUCCUAAGUGAGUGCUUGUAUUAAAAAAUUUUUGUUUCUGUUUAAAAACAAAUAAAACUUCUAGUGGAAAGAACUGUGUCAUUCUGUUUACUGUAUUGAGCUAGGUUUCCACAAAGUGUUACAGGAACUAGGGAACAUAAUGGUGUUAAUUAACACAUCCAGUGUAGAGGGUCCUGCAAUUCACCUUUUGGAUCGAGGGUUCCUGUAAAAUUGUACAGACAAUUGCCUACGGACAGUAUCUGGAGCAAAUAUUGAUUAUCCAUUGAAGGAACUGGAUUA
ensembl:lncRNA